CCUACGGGAGGCAGCAGUGAGGAAUAUUGGUCAAUGGACGAGAGUCUGAACCAGCCAAGUAGCGUGAAGGAUGACUGCCCUAUGGGUUGUAAACUUCUUUUAUAAAGGAAUAAAACGAGGCACGUGUGCCUUUUUGCAUGUACUUUAUGAAUAAGGAUCGGCUAACUCCGUGCCACCAGCCGCGGUAAUACGGAGGAUCCGAGCGUUAUCCGGAUUUAUUGGGUUUAAAGGGAGCGUAGAUGGGUUGUUAAGUCAGUUGUGAAAGUUUGCGGCUCAACCGUAAAAUUGCAAUUGAUACUGGCAGUCUUGAGUACAGUUGAGGUAGGCGGAAUUCGUGGUGUAGCGGUGAAAUGCUUAGAUAUCACGAAGAACCCCGAUUGCGAAGGCAGCUUACUAAGCUGUGACUGACAUUGAUGCUCGAAAGUGUGGGUAGCAAACAGGAUUAGAUACCCGUGUAGUC
rnacentral:rRNA from 1 species